UUUGAAGAUAUGCACUUUUGCUGUUAUAAUUGUGGGUAAUUUUGUCUUCCUAUAGAAAGUUCAACAUGAAUUGUUGUCCGUUUAUGCAACCCAAUUGCUCGAGAAGGAGCACUCUGGAUGUCAUGCAUUGCUUAGGGAUGACAAGGUAGAGGAUUUAUCAAGGAUGUAUAGGCUCUUUUCCAAAAUACCUCGAGGUUUAGAUCCGGUUUCUAGUAUAUUUAAACAGCAUGUUACUGCUGAACGUACAACAUUGGUUAAACAAGCGGAAGAUGCAGCCAGCAAUAAGAAGGUGAUGUAAUCUUGAUUGUGUUAUUUCAGAUCCCAUAGUCUUUGUGCAAUUUGUCUUCUGAGGAGGUGCAUUUCACAAGGCUCAUGAUUGAUCUGCCAUUACAUUGGACUUGGUUAACAAGUUAACAUGAAUCAGUCAUAUAA